rnacentral:rRNA from 1 species
GAUGAACGCUGGCGGCGUGCCUAAUACAUGCAAGUCGAGCGAAUGGAUUAAGAGCUUGCUCUUAUGAAGUUAGCGGCGGACGGGUGAGUAACACGUGGGUAACCUGCCCAUAAGACUGGGAUAACUCCGGGAAACCGGGGCUAAUACCGGAUAACAUUUUGAACCGCAUGGUUCGAAAUUGAAAGGCGGCUUCGGCUGUCCCUUAUGGAUGGACCCGCGUCGCAUUAGCUAGUUGGUGAGGUAACGGCUCACCAAGGCAACGAUGCGUAGCCGACCGGAGGGGGUGACCGGCCACACUGGGACGUGGAAACGGCCCAGACUCCUACGGGAGGCAGCAGUAGGGAAUCUGCCGCAAUGGACGAAAGUCUGACGGAGCAACGCCGCGUGAGGGAUGAAGGCUUUCGGGUCGUAAAACUCUGUUGUUAGGGAAGAACAAGUGCUAGUUGAAUAAGCUGGCACCUUGACGGUACCUAACCAGAAAGCCACGGCUAACUACGUGCCAGCAGCCGCCGUAA